GCAACGACAGCUUCAAAAUCUUGCGUUUGACCCAAUGCAAAUGCAGCCUCGUGUGCUAGCAAAUUCGAAGCUCAGGCAGUCCUUCAAAAUCCUGUACACUUUCAGCAGCAACAUCCUUCUUCUGCUGCAUCCUGUACAUUGCUGUCCAAGUUAGAUUUGAGGACUUCAUUCGGUUGUGGAAGUAACCUAACAUCCUUACAAGCAAGCCAACUGCUUUUUUCUAUCAGAUGUACUUAAAUGAGCUCAAAUGGAAAGUUUUGAAGUUAUUGGAAUAAAAAGCUCAAAUUGGACUUAUUUGGACUUCAAUGAUAAGCUAAUAAGACUUAUUUUUAAAGAAAAAUGAUCGUUUACAGAACCACUGUUAAAUCAAUGAUGUCGCCUCAUCCAAUUCAGAAGAAUUUCAGUGCAAAUAAAGAUCUAAAAUGCAUUUGUUGCUUGUGACGUCUGUUCUACUCAUGGAUUUGUUGCAAAUAAAUAUCCUUUGACCUUAACGGUACAAAACACAACAAUAAGUUCCCCACAGUCAAGUUCUUUCAUGGAAGCACCUGGGGAUGAUUCCCUUAGUCAAGGAACAAUUGCGUAUUCAGCAAAAAUGCAGUGCAACUGCUAUCUCAAGUUGCCAAUUUACCAAAGCACCAAAGAAACUAAGUGAAUCAAUUUGAAAGCAACAUCAAAUUGGAAUUA
rnacentral:misc_RNA from 1 species